CCCGAAUGGGGAAACCCAGUGUGACUCGUCACACUAUCAUUAACUGAAUCCAUAGGUUAAUGAGGCGAACCGGGGGAACUGAAACAUCUAAGUACCCCGAGGAAAAGAAAUCAACCGAGAUUCCCCCAGUAGCGGCGAGCGAACGGGGAGGAGCCCAGAGCCUGAAUCAGCAUGUGUGUUAGUGGAAGCGUCUGGAAAGGCGCGCGAUACAGGGUGACAGCCCCGUACACAAAAGCGCAUGUGCUGUGAGCUCGAUGAGUAGGGCGGGACACGUGGUAUCCUGUCUGAAUAUGGGGGGACCAUCCUCCAAGGCUAAAUACUCCUGACUGACCGAUAGUGAACCAGUACCGUGAGGGAAAGGCGAAAAGAACCCCGGCGAGGGGAGUGAAAAAGAACCUGAAACCGU
rnacentral:rRNA from 5 species